CUUUAAUCUUCCGACUGCUUUACUCUUUGAAACACUGUCACUUUGACUUUGUUGUUAGUAUUUGAGUGAUGCAAUCGUUUCUAUUUGUCCAUGUCGCUCUUGAAGCCUUCAACUCGUCAAAAAUCAGUCAGCAAAUGCCAGAAUAAUAUAAUACCCACAAAAUGGUGAUCAUUUUCUGUCCAUAAAAUCAAUUUCAAAAUCGAACGUCUUUGGUUGUUGUUUAAUCUAUGUUCUAACGUUAUAAAAGUUUG